rnacentral:rRNA from 1 species
UACGGAGGGUGCGAGCGUUGUCCGGAAUCAUUGGGCGUAAAGGGCGCGUAGGUGGCCCGGUCAGUCUUUGGUGAAAGCGCGGGGCUCAACCCUGCGUCGGCCAGGGAUACUGCCGCGGCUCGAGCACUGUAGAGGCAGGCGGAAUUCCGGGUGUAGCUGUGGAAUGCGUAGAGAUCCGGAAGAACACCGGUGGCGAAGGCGGCCUGCUGGGCAGUUUGGCUGACACUGAGGCGCGACAGCGUGGGGAGCAAACAGG